rnacentral:rRNA from 1 species
UGCGUAGGCGGUUGGGUAAGUCUGAUGUGAAAUCCCCGGGCCCAACCCGGGAAUGGCAUCGGAGACUGCUCAGCUUGAGGGUUGGAGGGGGGACUGGAAUUCCCGGUGUAGCAGUGAAAUGCGUAGAUAUCGGGAGGAACACCUGUGGCGAAGGCGAGUCCCUGGACAAUACCUGACGCUGAGGCACGAAAGCCAGGGUAGCAAACA